CAGCCGCCACGGUAAUACGUAGGUGGCAAGCGUUGUCCGGAAUUAUUGGGCGUAAAGGGCUCGCAGGCGGUUUCUUAAGUCUGAUGUGAAAGCCCCCGGCUCAACCGGGGAGGGUCAUUGGAAACUGGGAAACUUGAGUGCAGAAGAGGAGAGUGGAAUUCCACGUGUAGCGGUGAAAUGCGUAGAGGUGUGGAGGAACACCAGUGGCGAAGGCGACUCUCUGGUCUGUAACUGACGCUGAGGAGCGAAAGCGUGGGGAGCGAACAGGAUUAGAUACCCCAGUAGUCCCUGUCUCUUAUAC
rnacentral:rRNA from 1 species